rnacentral:rRNA from 1 species
GGCCAGACUCCUACGGGAGGCAGCAGUGGGGAAUAUUGCACAAUGGGGGGAACCCUGAUGCAGCGACGCCGCGUGGGUGAAGAAGCGCCUCGGCGCGUAAAGCCCUGUCAGCAGGGAAGAAAAUGACGGUACCUGAAGAAGAAGCCCCGGCUAACUACGUGCCAGCAGCCGCGGUAAUACGUAGGGGGCAAGCGUUAUCCGGAUUUACUGGGUGUAAAGGGGGCGCAGACGGCGAUGCAAGCCAGGAGUGAAAGCCCGGGGCCCAACCCCGGGACUGCUCUUGGAACUGCGUGGCUGGAGUGCAGGAGGGGCAGGCGGAAUUCCUGGUGUAGCGGUGAAAUGCGUAGAUAUCAGGAGGAACACCGGUGGCGAAGGCGGCCUGCUGGACUGCAACUGACGUUGAGGCCCGAAAGCGUGGGGAGCAAACAGGAUUAGAUACCAGAGUA